GGUUCCGCAGUGCUUGAGUGCGCGCUGGGUUGUUGGUGACCCAGUGGGCCAAAGAUGUGGCCCUGGCCGUCUCAAAGUAGGCGGUUACAGGCAGUGGGGCCGGUCGUCGAGGGAGGAGGAGCAGGGAGCCCUGGGCCCUCGUGCCCCAGCCUGUGCCCCUUCGAACUUGUAUUAGGUAUUAUAUCAGCAACUUCAUCGGAUCUGGGCAUCUAGAUUGUAGAUGUGGAUGGAAAACUUCCGAAUAACAAGAUCUGUCUUGGGGAGUUGCUUCCUGAGCUCCACAGCUUGCCUUCUACAGUUGCAGUCUCUGGUUGUCUUCUGCACAAAGACCUGCAGACCUGCAGAGCUGGGUCCCGGGAAACAGGUGUGACCAAGCUCAUGGAUGUGGGGACAUUCAUGUUCUCCAUAGUUAUUUGGCAGCAGAGACUGUGAAUGGGAUAGUGGAAUAGCAUCCAUCUAUUUGGAGCUGUGCUCCUGGGCUGCAGUUGGCCCCACCACGCAGCAGCUGGAAGUGCAGGGUUUUGUAAUGGAAACCCUGCCAGUCCCUCAACCAUUGCAGUGCUGGGGAGCGGUG
rnacentral:lncRNA from 1 species